rnacentral:lncRNA from 1 species
UGAAAUGUGAGUGAAUAAAUGAAUAAAUGAAUGAAUGAAUGAAUGAAUGAAUAUGAUAUGUGAAGUGAUGGUGGAGAUGGUUCUGUCCCUUCCCUUGUUGGUUUUGAUAUUGUUGUUGUUGUUCUUCCCUCUACAGGGUUGGUUUGGUGACAGUCCUUUAAUAUAAGUACAUGUUCGGCUACACCAUCACCAAUUUCACCACCUUUGACGUUGCUUACAGUUGCAGAGGGACAGUGACCACUCAGUGCAACCCAUUGGCUGCUAGUACCAAGUACUUCUCUCUCUUUUUGCCCCUUCCCUCACUGCUGCACACAUAAAGAAAGGGAAAAAAGAGAAAAUUAAAAUAUAAAAAAG